GGGUUAAGUCCCGCAACCGAGCCGCAACCCUAUCUUUAGUUGCCAUCAUUCAGUUGGGCACUCUAAUGAGACUGCCGGUGACAAACCGGAGGAAGGUGGGGAUGACGUCAAGUCCUCAUGGCCCUUAUAGGUGGGGCUACACACGUCAUACAAUGGCCGGUACAAAGGGUCGCAAACCCGCGAGGGGGAGCCAAUACCAUCAAAGCCGGUCGUAGUCCGGAUCGCAGUCUGCAACUCGACUGCGUGAAGUCGGAAUCGCUAGUAAUCGUGGAUCAGCAUGUCACGGUGAAUACGUUCCCGGGUCUU
rnacentral:rRNA from 1 species